UUUCAGGUCCGACGCAGCAAAAACCCGUAAACCCCGCCAGGACCGGAAGGUAGCAACGGUAAGCGGUCAUUUUUGGGUGACGCCGGUGCGCCUGAAGAGA
rnacentral:SRP_RNA from 2 species